GCGGCGGUAUCUCUAUGAGCUGCACGCAAAUUGAGGGCUUUUCCGGCAAAGUUUUAAAAUCUGCUUUGAUCCUUUGUGACAGAGAUAGGUAC
rfam:Oxobacter pfennigii strain DSM 3222 OXPF_contig000026, whole genome shotgun sequence.